UUCAGUUACUGAAGGGGUCACAAAUUCAAAUUUCCACCAUCUUCUCUUCUUCGUAACUUCUCCUCUCCCUCCCAUUUUUCCGUCCAACCUCACCCACUCUUCAGCAGUCUCAGACCUCCAGUGGCAGGACACGAAAACACGAGCGGCGCGAUUAGAGGCGGCGUAUCAUUCCAGUGGCGGUCGACGGCAGUGCAACCUGAGAACUAGGGCGUUUCCUUCGAUUUCCAGUGUGCGGUGUUCGUUUUCUGCGACGACGACCUGUUCUCCAUUGAGUUGCGGGCACAACCGAACAGUUUCGCUUCAGCCUCUCCAUUUGUGCCGCUCGGCUUUGCUGCUCAGUUCGUUUUAUCGCGCUUAUCGUUUUAGCCUUUACUUGUCUUUGCCUCCACUCAUUUAGCCAUUUUUUCACCCUAUUAGAAGAGCCACUGUAGACCCAAUCUCAUUGGCGUCAGUUUUUACCGAAGGACCUGCUACUGGGAGUCCAAUAUUUCGUCAUCGAUCUCCUAUUUCGUUCUUGUUGCUUGUUCUUCUACAUUGGAAUUCGACUAUGGGCAAACUAAAGUAGGAUACAAAAGGCUUACUCUAUGAUGAUUCCGGUGCUAACUUUUCCAAUUUGACGGAUAAUUCCCUGCCCUUGGGAAUUUGUUCUUCUUAGAUGGGUUGGGAAUCAAGUUUUAUAGCAGAAUUACAGUGAAGUUCAGUUCAAAAAAGCUCUAUAGAGAGUUCGAGUGACUAGGCACGGGAUGAGUGUGCCGAUUAUGUGGAGCAAGUUUCGCACUGGAACGAGAAGUUGUAAGGACAUUUUUUUUUUGUCGGACUGCGUCCAGGUGAGCUUAAGCAUGUUGUGGCCAUCUCCAUUAAAGUUCCAUUAUAACAAAGGUAUUUCACGAACCCAAAGAAGUCGACAAUUAGGAAUGCAACUAAUUGAUGGAUGAGCUUCCUUGUUGGGGUUGGUGUGUGAGACUUGUUUAAUUAUGUAAUUUGUGUUUGUAGGAAUUUGGACAUGUUUAAUAUAAUGUACUAGCAAGUCAGAGAAUACUAAUAUAUUCAAAAUUAAUAUAUUAGCUUCCUUGUUCAUGUUUAA